GUCCGUCUGGCGGGUCAACUGGCCUCACGUCCCCUUCAUGAUCUCCUCCUACUAUGCUUCCUUCACCAUGCUCUCAGAUAUCAGCUACCUUUGCUUGCCAUCAGUCAGGAGCCACCAUCAGGAAAAAGACUGGAAAAGAAAACCUCUACCUGGCCCUAUGAAAAGUAGACAUUAACUCCAUUUUAUGGAAGUGAUCCAUAAAGAUGUGCCUGGAGACAGUAAGAAAAAAGAGGCAGCCAUUACAUUAAAUAAACAGAUAUCCUGAUUAUCAAGGAAGUUUAAUUCAGUACGCAAGACAGGGAAGUCAAAUGAGAAUGUAAGAAAACAACCCGAAGAAUGAAUGCGAGUGUUUGUGGAAUAACAGAUAAAUGGUGCUAUUCCAAACUCUACACAAAGACUUUAUGUAUAUUAGAGAAAGAAGAGAGGAAGGGAUUGAGCCACUUUUGCUGUGAGACCAAGACAUCCUGGGGCAGUUGUUAAAACACCGAAUCUCGGAUCCUGUGAUCAUUCACCUGAGUUAAAUCUAUGCCUUGGAAAGGAUUCGUUCUCUCAUAGGUCACUUGUGGCUCC